UACGUAGGGUGCGAGCGUUAAUCGGAAUUACUGGGCGUAAAGCGUGCGCAGGCGGUUCGUUAAGUUCGUUGUGAAAGCCCCGGGCUCAACCUGGGAACUGCAAUGGAAACUGGCGGGCUUGAGUGUGGCAGAGGGGGGUGGAAUUCCGCGUGUAGCAGUGAAAUGCGUAGAGAUGGGGAGGAACACCGAUGGCGAAGGCAGCCCCCUGGGUCAAGAUUGACGCUCAUGCACGAAAGCGUGGGGAGCAAACAGG
rnacentral:rRNA from 1 species